AGAACGAACGCUGGCGGCAGGCUUAACACAUGCAAGUCGAACGCUCGUAGCAAUACGGGAGUGGCAGACGGGUGAGUAACGCGUGGGAACAUACCCUCCGGUUCGGAAUAACUCAGGGAAACUUGAGCUAAUACCGGAUACGGCUGAGAGGCGAAAGAUUUAUCGCCGGAGGAUUGGCCCGCGUCCGAUUAGCUAGUUGGUGAGGUAACGGCUCACCAAGGCGACGAUCGGUAGCUGGUCUGAGAGGAUGAUCAGCCACAUUGGGACUGAGACACGGCCCAAACUCCUACGGGAGGCAGCAGUGGGGAAUAUUGGACAAUGGGCGCAAGCCUGAUCCAGCCAUGCCGCGUGAGUGAUGACGGCCUUAGGGUUGUAAAGGCUCUUUCGCUCGGGACGAUAAUGACGGUACCGAGAUAAGAAGCCCGGCUAACUUCGCGCCAGCAGCCGC
rnacentral:rRNA from 1 species